UAUACACCAAGCCUUCAAGAAUACAUUGAAAAUGCAUGGAUUUCAAUAUCAGUUCCACUUAUAUUGGUGCAUUAUUAUUUUUUUGUCACAAAUCCCAUAACAAAGGAAGCCUUGGAUUUAUUGGAAGACUAUCCCAAUAUAUUUCGUUGGCCAGCAAUAAUUGUACGACUUGCGGAUGAUCUUGGAACAUCUAAGGAAGAGUUAGAGAGAGGUGAUAUUCCCAAAUCAAUUCAAUGUUACAUGAAUGAUACUGGUGCUAGUGAAGACGAUGCUCGUGACUAUAUAAGGAAUUUGAUUAGUGCAACAAGGAUGAAGUAUAAUGAAGAAAUUGCUGCAAGUUCUCCCUUUUCUGAAACAUUUAUUCAUCUUGGAAUGAAUGUUGCAAGGAUGUCCCAAUGCAUGUACCAGCAUGGAGAUGGGCACGGCGUUGAAGAUCAUGAAACUAAGGACCGAGUCUUAGCAUUGCUGAUUCAUCCCAUCCCUCUACCUAAGGAUUGAUGAAUGACUGAUAUAUUCACACAUGUGAUUGAAGGUUCAACUUCAAAAUUACAUAGAAAUAUUUCCUUUC